GAUGAACGCUGGCGGCGUGCUUAACACAUGCAAGUCGAGCGAAGCACUUAAGUUCGAUUCUUCGGAUGAAGACUUUUGUGACUGAGCGGCGGACGGGUGAGUAACGCGUGGGUAACCUGCCUCAUACAGGGGGAUAACAGUUAGAAAUGGCUGCUAAUACCGCAUAAGACCACGGUACUGCAUGGUACAGUGGUAAAAACUCCGGUGGUAUGAGAUGGACCCGCGUCUGAUUAGGUAGUUGGUGAGGUAACGGCCCACCAAGCCGACGAUCAGUAGCCGACCUGAGAGGGUGACCGGCCACAUUGGGACUGAGACACGGCCCAGACUCCUACGGGAGGCAGCAGUGGGGAAUAUUGCACAAUGGGCGAAAGCCUGAUGCAGCGACGCCGCGUGAAGGAUGAAGUAUUUCGGUAUGUAAACUUCUAUCAGCAGGGAAGAAAAUGACGGUAC
rnacentral:rRNA from 1 species